rnacentral:misc_RNA from 1 species
AAUAUUGUCACCACAAACAUAAUCUUCCUCAAGGCCCUGCUCUUCACAGUAUAACCCAUCAAAAACGAAUGCUGGGGUGAAAAGCUGUUGGUCCUCCUCUAAGUGCAAAGCCAUCUUCUUCAAAGAAGAAGAGAUUGAGUCCUCUUCUCAUCGUACCAUCAAAGAACAUAAAAUCUCAAACUCCUUGCAUAUCACCAUACACCUUUCUCUCUCUGCAGAAUGUAGUGACACAGAGAGAGCAGAGACAGAGAGGAAAAGGGAGGGAUAGAUGG